CCGCCGCGGAGCUGCAGAGGAGGAGGAGGAGGAAGAAGCGGACAUCGCCGCGGGACCGCGCCAUGGCUCUCCGUGCGCGCUGCCCGGUUUUCAUACAUCUGCUGAUUCUUUUUGGAGCACCACUCUUUGUGGAGACAGAAGAGAGGGUGCCACCUUUGUAGACCUGGGAAGGGGUGAUCGAACAGCAGCCAACUGAUGAUUGCAAAAUCAGUCUUGGCAGCUCCUCACCUGCAAAAGAUCUGAACAACCUGAACAUUGCAAUAUUAUAAUGCAGCACAUCAUGGGGGAGAAACUCUUGAAAGAAUCAUUCUAACCUGGCACCAGGCAGGUGUAAAGACAUGGUUUUGUAAGACUGAGCCACACAGCUGAAAGAGUAAGUCCAACAUGACUCUCCACUAGUAAAAUGCUUUAAAAGCUAAUGUUUCUAUGGGUAUGCAUGUGCACUGGGAGAGGUUAAGUAUUUACUGGGGAUUCAGAAAAAAAAAGCAUUUCUUCUCAGAAAGACCAUAAAGGUGUAAUACAUCCAUAGUAUAUCAUUCAGAUGUGGAACUCCUUGCCACAGGGAACAUGAAUUAUGAAUUUUACGUGGAUUCAGAUGGCAUAAAGUCUUGUCUGACUUUAUGCCAUCUGAAUGUCAGGGACUAUUCAGAACAGAGGUAUCACAUCCUGCUCAGGAAUAGCCUGAGUCACUCAUCAGUGUAUUCAAACAUUUAGAGACUAUUCAGAGGAUGUUAUCACCCUAUGUUUGGUCUGUACAAGCCCUUCCCUCAGCUUUUGCUAUUGACUGCUGUGUUAGACAGGGUACUGUGGGGAAGUGAACAUUGGUCUGUGUCAGAGACUGAAAAUAGCUCAUGCCUCAAACAUUGAUAUAAAGUUUUGCUCAUUAUAAAGAAGCUACAACCGA